GGGGAAUCUUCCGCAAUGGACGAAAGUCUGACGGAGCAACGCCGCGUGAGUGAUGACGGCCUUCGGGUUGUAAAGCUCUGUUAAUCGGGACGAAAGGCCUUCUUGCGAAUAGUUAGAAGGAUUGACGGUAUCGGAAUAGAAAGCCACGGCUAACUACGUGCCAGCAGCCGCGGUAAUACGUAGGUGGCAAGCGUUGUCCGGAAUUAUUGGGCGUAAAGCGCGCGCAGGCGGAUUGGUCAGUCUGUCUUAAAAGUUCGGGGCUUAACCCCGUGAUGGGAUGGAAACUGCCAAUCUAGAGUAUCGGAGAGGAAAGUGGAAUUCCUAGUGUAGCGGUGAAAUGCGUAGAUAUUAGGAAGAACACCAGUGGCGAAGGCGACUUUCUGGACGAAAACUGACGCUGAGGCGCGAAAGCCAGGGGAGCGAACGGGAUUAGAUACCCCGGUAGUCCUGGCCGUAAACGAUGGGUACUAGGUGUAGGAGGUAUCGACCCCUUCUGUGCCGGAGUUAACGCAAUAAGUACCCCGCCUGGGGAGUACGACCGCAAGGUUG
rnacentral:rRNA from 1 species